UACGGAGGGUGCAAGCGUUAUCCGGAAUCACUGGGUUUAAAGGGUGCGUAGGCGGUCUGGUAAGUCAGUCGUGAAAUCGCCGGGCUUAACCCGUGCAACUGCGAUUGAUACUGCCGGACUUGAAUGAGGUUGAGGUAGGCGGAAUGUGGCAUGUAGCGGUGAAAUGCUUAGAUAUGCCAUAGAACACCGAUUGCGAAGGCAGCUUGCUGGUCCUUCAUUGACGCUGAGGCACGAAAGCGUGGGGAGCAAACAGG
rnacentral:rRNA from 1 species